UUGUUAGACAUAUUAGCUUUGAAAGGCUUUCCUGAAUGCCACUGAAUCUAGAGGGUCUAUUAACAAUGAUAAAGUUUGAGUCUUACUGCAGCUUUUCCUGAUGCAUUGCCGGGCUCUUUAUAAUGGUCGCCAUUUUCACCUACAGAAACCUAAAUGUUAGCCAUGGGACAUCUAAGACAUCUUCACCAAAUCUUCUGCUUCAGUGUGAGAACUUAAAUCUUUCUGGAAGAGAGAACUGAAAAAAUGUGCCUUGUUUGAUACUUUGAUCUUUGUUCAUUCAGAGAGAUCUUUGAAACAGCAGAAGAAGAUGAACAGCUGGGUUUCACAAAACAAGGCAGACAAAGCAGUUGGAGGUAAGGAGAGGGGUGUUGUGUAGACCCAAGAAGAUAUGUUUUUUCUGGGUUUCCUCAAAGAACAAAGGUAUGCUUUUGUCUUUAAGUUGUGUAUAAGAAAGGCAGCUAGCUAGAACCAGGAGAUCAUGUGUGAGGAGGAACAUAUAUGGGGAAGCCCUGCUCUGCCUAUAGAAUGAGAAAUAGUGGCAACACCCUUUUUUUUUUUUUUAUAUUAUUAGUAUUCACGUAAGAGAGAAGAGAGAGAGAGGAGGAAUUACAAUAAUAAACAAAGGGCCAAAAAGGAAGGGGGGAGAGAUGAUGUGAAUGUGUGGGUCGGAUGUGGGUGGUGGGUGACUUGUCUCAGACUUGCAUUUGGACAAGAUAAUGUGGGUGGGUGGGUGGGUCUGUGAGUCUGGAGCUCUCCACCCAUUGAGCAUGUGGAGUUUGUCAGAAAAUAUAAAUAUAUGUAAUUAACAAAUUGGAUUUGUGUACUGUAAAGCCUGGUUUGUUGUCUAAAAGCCCUCUCAUCCAAGUUCCAACUGUUCUCCCCUGUAUUUAUUCUGUCACCAUCCCUGUAUCUUUGACCUCACAAAACAAAGAAAUAUCAUUUUUUGAUUUUUUUUUUUUUUUUAUGUUUUCGAUGU